CCUACGGGUGGCAGCAGUGGGGAAUAUUGGACAAUGGGGGGAACCCUGAUCCAGCCAUGCCGCGUGUGUGAAGAAGGCCCUCGGGUUGUAAAGCACUUUCAGUGAGGAAGAACGCCUGGUGGUUAAUACCCAUCAGGAAAGACAUCACUCACAGAAGAAGCACCGGCUAACUCCGUGCCAGCAGCCGCGGUAAUACGGAGGGUGCGAGCGUUAAUCGGAAUUACUGGGCGUAAAGCGCGCGUAGGUGGCUUGAUAAGCCGGUUGUGAAAGCCCCGGACUCAACCUGGGAACGGCAUCCGGAACUGUCAAGCUAGAGUGCAGGAGAGGAAGGUAGAAUUCCCGGUGUAGCGGUGAAAUGCGUAGAGAUCGGGAGGAAUACCAGUGGCGAAGGCGGCCUUCUGGACUGACACUGACACUGAGGUGCGAAAGCGUGGGUAGCAAACAGGAUUAGAUACCCGAGUAGUC
rnacentral:rRNA from 1 species